GCCCGUUGGUCAAGUGGUUAAGACACCGCCCUUUCACGGCGGUAACAUGGGUUCAAAUCCCGUACGGGU
rnacentral:tRNA from 1 species